GACGAACGCUGGCGGCGUGCUUAACACAUGCAAGUCGAACGGUGAAGCGCCUUCCUUUUUGGUGGGUGUCGAUGAGUGGCGAACGGGUGAGUAACACGUGAGUAACCUGCCCCCUUCUUCUGGAUAACCGCAUGAAAGUGUGGCUAAUACGGGAUAUUCUGGGUCUGUCGCAUGAUGGGUCUGGGAAAGAUAUUGUUUCGGUGGGGGAUGGGCUCGCGGCCUAUCAGCUUGUUGGUGGGGUGAUGGCCUACCAAGGCGGUGACGGGUAGCCGGCCUGAGAGGGUGGACGGUCACACUGGGACUGAGACACGGCCCAGACUCCUACGGGAGGCAGCAGUGGGGAAUAUUGCACAAUGGGCGCAAGCCUGAUGCAGCGACGCCGCGUGAGGGAUGGAGGCCUUCGGGUUGUGAACCUCUUUCUCCAGUGAAGCAGGCCUGCCUCGUUUGUGGGUGGGUUGACGGUAGCUGGAUAAGAAGCGCCGGCUAACUACGUG
rnacentral:rRNA from 1 species